rnacentral:rRNA from 1 species
GACGAACGCUGGCGGCGCGCUUAACACAUGCAAGUCGAACGGAAAGGCCUGCUUUCCCUUGUGGCUUGCGGGUACUCGAGUGGCGAACGGGUUAGUAACACGUGAGUGAUCUGCCCCCAACUUGGGUAUAAGCCUGGUAACCUGGGUCUAAUUCCCGAUAGCACUGCAGUGUGGUGCCUGUGGUUUAACACGAUUUUCUAGUGGUUGGGGAUGAGCUCGCGGCCUAUCAGCUUGUUGGUGGGGUAAUGGCCUACCAAGGCGGCUACGGGUAGCCGGGCUGAGGGGGCGGACGGGGACAGUGGGAAUGAGAAACGGCCCAGAGUCCGACGGGAGGCAGAAGUGGGGAAGAGUGGAAGAUGUGGGGAAGCGUGAAGAAGGGACGACGGGUGGGGGAUGAAGGGCUGCGGGAGGGAAAAUGCUUUCGGCCGCGAAGAAGCCACCUGGUUGGGAGGGUAGUGACGGUAGUGGUAGAAGAAGCACCGGCUAACUACGUG